GUUGCUCGGAAUCAUUGGGCGUAAAGCGCACGUAGGCGGCGAGGAAAGUUGGGUGUGAAAGCCCUGGGCUCAACCCAGGAAGUGCAUUCAAAACUACCUUGCUUGAAUCUCGGAGGGGGUCAGAGAAUUCCCGGUGUAGAGGUGAAAUUCGUAGAUAUCGGGAGGAAUACCAGUGGCGAAGGCGCUGACCUGGACGAAGAUUGACGCUGAGGUGCGAAAGCGUGGGGAGCAAACAGG
rnacentral:rRNA from 1 species